rnacentral:sRNA from 1 species
AUAAAGUAAAGGAACCCGAGAUCUGCGCAGGGGUUCUCUUUGCCGAUAUCGCUCACCUCACCUUUCAAACCUAAACUCGAGCCUGCUGCUCACCGGCCUAGCAUUGCUCUCGCCAUGGCUCUCAGCGAUGCUGACGUGCAAAAGCAGAUAAAGCAUAUGAUGGCUUUCAUUGAACAAGAAGCCAAUGAGAAAGCAGAAGAAAUAGAUGCAAAGGCAGAAGAAGAGUUCAACAUAGAGAAAGGUCGGCUUGUGCAAACCCAAAGACUAAAGAUUAUGGAAUAUUAUGAGAAGAAAGAGAAACAGAUUGAGCAGCAGAAGAAAAUGUAAGUAGAUCCUGGUUGCAGUAUUAAGCUAAGAAGUUUUCUGAAGUCAUGAGAUGAAGACAGAGCAGGCGCCUUGGAGUCAGGCAUAUAUAGAUUCAGGUCUUAACUCGACCACCUACUACUAAUCUGACAAAUUGUUUAACUUCUCUUUCUUCAUUUGUGAAAAUUGAAGCCUGACAGGAUUAUUCAAAGAUUAAACUGCAGGCUGGGCAAGGUGGCUCACGCUUGUAAUCCUGGUGCUUUGGGG